rnacentral:rRNA from 1 species
UACGUACCGGACGAACGUUAUUCGGAAUCACUGGGCUUAAAGAGUGCGUAGGCGGCGUUGUAGGUGAGGUGUGAAAUCCCACGGCUCAACCGUGGAACUGCGCUUCAAACCACAAUGCUUGAGGGAGACAGGGGUGAGCGGAACUGAUGGUGGAGCGGUGAAAUGCGUUGAUAUCAUCAGGAACACCGGUGGCGAAGGCGGCUCACUGGGUCUCUUCUGACGCUGAGGCACGAAAGCUAGGGUAGCGAACGGG